AUGAGGACUCUCUGCAACUGUCCCAAAAAGUAAUGCAAAUGCAAAUAUUGCACCCACAGAUUGCAUUAACAUCUCCAUUAUAUCAUAAAACCUAUAUUUUAUGGAGAAAAGAAAAAGGAACCACGAUAGGUGCAUAACACAAAGGCACAGAUGAGGAAGUCAACCACCAAAUGCUAAGACAAUGGUCUAGCGAAUGCCCUACUCUAUAUAUUUGAGCAGAAGAGCCAACAACUAUACAAAGACGCGACUUCUAAUCUAAUCACAGAGCGAAGAAAUGCAUGCAUUCAUUAUCGGUUUUGAAGCCACAAAGUUUUUCAAUAAUCCAUCCCAAUAUCUACAUUUUGCAUCACUCGUAUACAUUUGCUGA
rnacentral:misc_RNA from 1 species